UGUACGCACCCGGGCGGCCCCCAGUUCUAGGCGCAGGCCACGAUCAGGUUGCUAAUCAAACGGGCAGCCUUGCAACCCUAAACUAGUGUUGCACUCGCCCUCCAGUGGCGGCAAUUCUCGGACCCUUGGGGCUUGCGCGCCUGCAUCCCCCCGGCGCCUCGCGCCAGAAGAAGCGGGCCAGCCGGCGUUCUAGGCCAGUGGUUUCCCCGUCAGACCCCCGCCGCCGCCGAGGACAGGCGGCGCACUCCCGCCCCGCUAGUAGCACGGGCGGCGAAAAUGGCUCGGCCAUGCGUGCCGCCAAGGACCGGGCGGCGGCUCGCCCUGGGUGCUGCAUAUUGC
rnacentral:telomerase_RNA from 1 species